AACGAACGCUGGCGGCAUGCCUAACACAUGCAAGUCGAACGCCUGUAGCAAUACAGGAGUGGCAGACGGGUGCAAAACGCGUGGAAACCUAUCCUUGGGUUCGGAAUAACCGCGGGAAACUGCGGCUAAUACCGGAUACGUCCUUCGGGAGAAAGAUUUAUCGCCCAUUGAGGGGUCCGCGUCUGAUUAGCUAGUUGGUGAGGUAAUGGCUCACCAAGGCGACGAUCAGUAGCUGGUCUGAGAGGAUGAUCAGCCACACUGGAACUGAGACACGGUCCAGACUCCUACGGGAGGCAGCAGUGGGGAAUAUUGGACAAUGGGCGCAAGCCUGAUCCAGCAAUGCCGCGUGGGUGAUGAAGGCCUUGGGGUUGUAAAGCCCUUUUGGCGGGGACGAUGAUGACGGUACCCGCCGAAUAAGCUCCGGCUAACUUCGUGCCAGCCGCCGCAGUAACAC
rnacentral:rRNA from 1 species